CGAUGUCGCCCCAUACCUGAUGCCCGACCCUCGCUCGCACCUCACUCCAGACGGUUUUGCGGCUUCCCAACAUCGCCUCCGUCCUCUCCCCGUCCGUCGUCCAGGCCUCAGGGCGCCCUCACAGGCUCCAGCAGACGGUUUUCGCUGCGUCCUCCUCGCGCGAGUCCGUCGGCGGAAGGUGCCUCCAAGCGUCGCGAGUCCGGGGCGUCCUCCGAGCGUCGGCGGAAGGUGCCUCCGAGCGUCGCGAGUCCGUCGGCGGAAGGUCGUCGCGAGUCCGGGGCGUCCUCCUCGCGCGUCCGGGGCGGGACCGUGCCUCCGAGCGUCGCGAGUCCUGGGCGGUCUCCUCGCGCGUCCGGGCGGAACCGGCGGACCGCGCCUCCGAGCGUCUCGCCGGUCUCCGCGCGCGUCCGGGCGGGUACGCGCCUCCGCGCGUCGCGCGUCCGCGGCGAGCGGCCGGUCUCCGCGCGCGUCCGGGCGGGUACGUGCCUCCGCGCGUCGCGCGUCCGGGCAGGUCCGCUGCUUCGAGCGUCGCGCGUCCGAGCGUAGCUCGUCCGAGCCGUCGGUCUCAGGUCGUCCUCUCCCCGUUCAUCGUCCAGGGCGUCUUCACAGGCCGCGCCGUCCUCUCCCCCUCAGAUCCUGUCGGUAGCAGGUAGGAGGCCGAGCCACCAUGCCCUCUUCGACCUUUGAGCGGGAUGAGGAGCGAGCAGAUCGACAAGGCGCGCCCUUUCCUCCUCCCUAGCUUGAUCCCAUCCUACUCUGUCCAGAUCCAAGUGAUUUUAACAUUUAUUUAUACCCUAGGUGUAUCGAAAGCAGGGGAAUUCAUUGCAGAUGCCAUAUCUAGAGUAGGGAACGGGAUUUGAAAAACAGAAGAUGUUUUGAUCUAAUUGGGAUCCGCUGCCUCUUGGAGUCUGAAGUGGCAGGGCACUGCGUUGGGAGUGCUGGUGUCCAAGGCAGCACUAGCAUAAGCAGGAGAAUGCAUUAAUGAAAUGAGUAAUCCAGGCUUUGCGCUAUCUUAGGCAGGUUGCUCAUGAAGAUACCCAUUCUGUAAUAAUUGGAUGGACACAGUAGCAUGCUGCUUUACACGAUAUUAGGUAAAAGCUGACCAGGUUUAAAGAAGCCCUCAAUGGGCUUGCUGAGGCUGGAUGGCCUGUGAUUGAAAGUGGAGUGGACGAUAUUUUUAUCUCUGUUAACUCAUCCCUGAAUAAAGUGAUCGAUUGCAUGAAACUUACAAUAAUGGAUCGCUUUUAGUCAGUAGCAGUGUACUCUAUGCAAAUGCAUCGAUGCUACAGCAGUUUUUUGUGUAGAUCCCACUUGGGCACUAGCGCUACCACUUGUGGUGUAAUAUCUUUCACUUGUUGACCAUCAAUCCAUCUAUUAGAUAUAGAUUUCCUUGGCUGAUCUUCAUAGUGCAGUGCCAAUGGAAGCUACAAUCUUGCCACCUUGAUACACUAUUGUUUCAUUCCCUAACAUGGGGACAGUGUCUUUGGUGGAUGACAGGCUCGAUUCUGCUAUGGUUGCAAGACACAUACCUAAACAUAUAGUUGCAAAUAUUUGUGACCAUGUCAGUAAUAUGUGUGAGGAAAUCAUAAUAAAUUAUCACUGAUUUUGUACAAAGGUAUUUAGUUUAAAUACAUAAUUCUUUAAUCCAAAAAUUAAAUUCUAGACAUUAGGAGCUUAUCUGUGCAGUCAAGAUGUGCUCUGUUGAUUUCAUUUCUUGUAAGCUAUUAUAUUGUGCUUAACUUUUUAAAUUCUAGACAUUAGGAGCUUAUCUGUGCAGUCAAGAUGUGCUCUGUUGAUUUCAUUUCUUGUAAGCUAUUAUAUUGUCCUUUCAAUUAACACUUGAGUCAUGCAAGAUUUGGUAUGUUGACUAUGUUGUUGCAUUUUCUAUUCAUCCAACUCAUGGCAAAGGAAGCAACAUUUUCCGGAUACUGUGGAGCUAUCUGGAUGGGGUGUACGAUGUAUGCUGCCCAGCUUCUCGUCUCAAUGCUCUUGGUUGUGAGUUCGUAUCCAUCUUAAUUAAGCUUAAAUGAAAUGUGCUCACAAAUUUGGUUGGACUAUCAAAUGUGCAGUUUCGGCUGAAGCUUUUAAACUAUUGUUAUUCCUCAAAAUGGCCACAAAUGCAUUCACGUUUGCUUUUCUUUUACUACCUUGAAAUUCGUUGAACCAAAUAUACCGUCAAAUGAGAGAUUCAGAUUUCUGUUAUCAAUUUUGUUGGAAACUUCUGGUCUUCUUGUUUGAGAGUGCUGGAAGCUUUUGCUCAUUGUAGUUUGUUUUAGCCUUGUGGAAUAUUGGCUAUUACUGUCAAUUGGUGGAUAAAUAAUCUAUCUUCUAUUGACCACCUGUUGUAUAUGAUGUAAAAGUAAACUAGGUAACUAAGUCUGAAUCUCCAACUAUAGUUGAAAUAACACUGCAUUGGAAUUGACCAUUAUGUUGAUAUUUCAAGUUUGUAGGACAAAAAGUAUUGUGCCUUUUUAUUACAUUAUCAUGUGAUCAUCUCUAGCCUUCCAUUUGAACUCUUGCAUGCAUCAUUGUAAAUGCGGUUGCAAUACCCUUUGUCAGAGUAUCACAACCUAAAUAUAACCCUGACAUUGCUAAAUAUUUGCAACUUUACCUGUUUUUUAUCCCUUAAAUGUUUUGAUCCCUGGACCCAUGUUGACAUGUGUAUAGUUGCACUAGCCUACUGUCACAGUGCUAAUGCUUUAAAAUAUAGUGGUCAAGAGAAUCGUAGAUUCUCUGAGGUAGUAUAAAAAAGGUUAAGAUUUAAAUUAUAUGGAGUUUUAGAAGACAGGCAUGUUCUAACAGUUUCUUCAUAUGCUCUCAUCCUUUUUUAUGUAAAUUUCUUUCCCAUAGUUAUAUAUGUGGUGCUAUCUCUGUUGUGGUGCUAUCUUUGUUCCAAAUAUUUCUUUAAAUUAUAUGGAGUUUUAAAGACAGACAUGUUCUAACUCUUACUUAUAGCUUGAUAAAAUAAUAUAGUUGUGGUGCUAUCUUUGUUCCAAAUAUUUCCAAUACCGUAAAAAUAUUAUAUUCUGUCUUUGGUUUGGGACAGAGAAAAAUUGAGAGCCUUGAGGUUCUAAGCUUACCACUAUACAUGAAUCUUUAUUUAACCUGCCUACUGAUGUGUGCUCUCACCAGUUACAUAUUUUUUUCUAAUUUUAUUAGUUAGCCUUCUUCGACCAGUAGGUGAUGUUGGCCUCAUCGGUACUCAUCAGCAACUAGUGUGCAGCUAGCACGAUUUUAUGAUUUAUCUAUCUUGAUUUAUGUAUGCACUAGCUGACAUUAAAGGAACAAAUUUAUUAUGACUACUACAAACGUGAGCAUUUGUAUCGCUUUUACCAUGUACAACUUCCCGUUACUUGCUCUGCCACUAUACUGAAUUUUGAUCUGUACUACCAUUUACUUUUGUAAGUUUGACCUCCUCUAAUGCACACAUGUUCUGCUAUAGUCAACCUGGGGCAAAUGCACCAUUCGGAGUCGGCACCAUUCCUACCAAUCGCAUCAACCAGUUGUACAUGUACUAAUAAGAACUGUACGACCACUAUGCAACACAGCCUGCUUGGAGUCAUGCUUUGCCCCCGUUCUUUUUUAUUUUUUUCAACCAUCUUCCUUUCCUAGUCAAUGUAUCAUGAUCUAUUAGUACAUGUAUUAUUUCCCAAUUUGACGUUAUUCGUUUUUAAUCACAGAUAUCACUGGUUCAUAUU